ensembl:misc_RNA Metazoa_SRP Metazoan signal recognition particle RNA
GCUGGGUGUGGUGGCUCACACCUGUAAUCCCAGCACUUUGGGAGGCUGAGGCAGGUGGAUCACCUGAGGUCUGGAGUUUGAGACCAGCCUGACCAAUAUGGUGAAACCCUGUCUCUU